rnacentral:rRNA from 1 species
UACGGAGGGUGCGAGCGUUACUCGGAAUUACUGGGCGUAAAGCGUGCGUAGGCGGCUUGUUAAGUCAGAUGUGAAAGCCCCGGGCUCAACCUGGGAACUGCAUUUGAAACUGGCGGGCUAGAGUUGGGUAGAGGGGAGCGGAAUUUCAGGUGUAGCGGUGAAAUGCGUAGAUAUCUGAAGGAACACCAGUGGCGAAGGCGGCUCCCUGGACCCAAACUGACGCUGAGGUACGAAAGCGUGGGUAGCAAACAGG